rnacentral:rRNA from 1 species
GACAUAAUGCAACUAGCACAAUCUAAUAAUCACCACCACCACCACUGAAUCCUAAGGUGUGCGAGAGAACUCUCGUUAAGGAACUCGGCAAAAUGACCCCGUAACUUCGGGAGAAGGGGUGCUGACCGCAAGGUCAGCCGCAGUGAAUAGGCCCAAGCGACUGUUUAUCAAAAACACAGGUCUCUGCAAAAUCGAAAGAUGACGUAUAGGGGCUGACGCCUGCCCGGUGCUGGAAGGUUAAGAGGAGAGGUUAGCGCAAGCGAAGCUUUGAAUCGAAGCCCCAGUAAACGGCGGCCGUAACGAUAACGGUCCUAAGGUAGCGAAAUUCCUUGUCGGGUAAGAUCCGACCCGCACGAAAGGCGUAACGAUUUGGGCACUGUCUCAACGAGAGACUCGGUGAAAUCAUAGUACCAGUGAAGAUGCUGGUUACCCGCGACAGGACGGAAAGACCCCAUGGAGCUUUACUGCAGUUUGAUAUUGCGUGUUUGUAUCACAUGUACAGGAUAGGUAGGAGCCGAAGAUACCGGGACGCCAGUCUCGGAGGAGGCAACGGUGGGAUACUACCCUUGUGAUAUGACCACUCUAACCCGCUGCUCUUAGCGAGCAGGGAGACAGUGUCAGACGGGCAGUUUGACUGGGGCGGUCGCCUCCAAAAAUGUAACGGAGGCGCCCAAAGGUUCCCUCAGAAUGGUUGGAAAUCAUUCGUAGAGUGUAAAGGCAGAAGGGAGUUUGACUGCGAGACCUACAAGUCGAGCAGGGACGAAAGUCGGGCUUAGUGAUCCGGUGGUUCCGCAUGGAAGGGCCAUCGCUCAACGGAUAAAAGCUACCCUGGGGAUAACAGGCUUAUCUCCCCCAAGAGUUCACAUCGACGGGGAGGUUUGGCACCUCGAUGUCGGCUCAUCGCAUCCUGGGGCUGUAGUCGGUCCCAAGGGUUGGGCUGUUCGCCCAUUAAAGCGGUACGCGAGCUGGGUUCAGAACGUCGUGAGACAGUUCGGUCCCUAUCCGUCGCGGGCGUUGGAAAUUUGAGAGGAGCUGUCCUUAGUACGAGAGGACCGGGAUGGACACACCGCUGGUGUACCAGUUGUUCUGCCAAGAGCAUCGCUGGGUAGCUAUGUGUGGACGGGAUAAACGCUGAAAGCAUCUAAGCGUGAAGCCCCCCUCAAGAUGAGAUUUCCCAUCACUUUAAGUGAGUAAGACCCCUGAGAGAUGAUCAGGUAGAUAGGUUGGGAGUGGAAGUACAGCGAUGUAUGGAGCGGACCAAUACUAAUCGGUCGAGGACUUAAUC